GUGGACACACACGCGCCUAUGUUCUUCAUUCAUAGCUGAGGAUCUCACUCCUUGAGUUCACAUUUCCUCCCACACUAAUCCCUUGCUGAUGUCGACUGAAGACGGAGCCAAACAAGAAACAAAUAAAUAUCAAAAGCAACUGGUGGGAAAGCAACUUCACAGCUGUGCCUGCUCCUACAGCAGAAGACCACAGUGUACACACUAUGCCCAGCUCUACAUCACACCCUGGCAGCAACACAAAGGGGAUAUAAAGCCCACAUACGCCCUCUUGGGAUUUCCCCCGGCUGUUCUUGCUGAGGAGGUGAAUGCCUAAGGAGUCAGAAUUAGAAGGAGAAAACGGAUGUGGUGGAAAGCAAAAUGAUUGGAGCACAGGAACUGUCCCUACAGAUCAAGAUGACCCAACAUCAAUCAGCUAAAGAAGUCUCCAGGCUGCUUUAACUGCACUCCUGGUUAGUCUCGGGAUAUUGCUAUUGAUGGAAACAACAUGAAUUCCCUUAGCAAAUUACUCAUGGGACUUAAGGGUAUUCACAGGACUGACUAAGACACCAUUUCAAUCACAAAACAAAACCAACAAAAUAAGUACAGGACAUGACUUGAAAAAACCAAGUAAGGGUUUUUUUUCACAGAAGUUCCUCACAAUGUAGAAAAAUUUAGUGUCUUCAUCCUGAGGAAGGUGUUAAAAAAAACAAUGCUCCAAAUGUUGUGUCAGUGCUUCAUGAAACACCUGACAGGCAGAAGAAAAAUAUAAUUGACAACUUUAUUUAAUUAUAAGCAACACUAGAACAUGUCCAAGCAAUAUUUUGGUUGAUUUUCAAGCCUGUAGUUGCAAUUAUUGAACUAGGUUGGAAGAUGAUUGUUUAAUUGCAGUCCCACUGGGCCCAUCUCAGAAAUCAGAUGUGUAUCUCUUAGGCUUAUCCUUCAGAGUUAUGUUUUAAAUAAGUUUCAUGUUGACUAUGAGAUUUAAGUGUAUAACUGAUGCUGAGCAAGAGCUUACUUGUGAAAUAGGAGAAUUUUCAGUUUUCUGAAUAAAUCUUUUCAUAAUGAGAUGUGUUCUCAUCCACUUUCAAAAUAUUUUAGUGAAAGACAAUCAGAAUGUUUUAAUUGCAUAACAUUUUAAAUCUACAAUUUUAUUCAAGUUCAAUGUUAUUAAUAUUCACUUAUUAUAACAUCACUACAGGAAAUUUCUGUUUAAUGAUGAUCGUUCAAAGUGGAAAUAAAAUUUGUUCCCAUGUCCCUUUUGUUUAUGUUCUGUGUGUAGAGUUUCCUACAAUUUAAUAAAAUGGAGGUAGUUUGAUCUAGAAGGACAAAUGUUAAAACAUAAGUAGCAAUUCCCUAGUGAUUCUGAAAUAAAGUUAAAAUAAUAUAAUCUGUCAUUACAAUAAGAGACUGUAAUUAAGUAACGUAAAACAGAAUGAAAAAAAGUUCCAAGCUGAAACUAAAAAUGUCAAAAAAACCCUUAAGACUUUUCCCAAAUGUAAAUGAACCCAGAAAGUUUUUUUAGUUUUGAGUUUAAUUUACAGCUUUUCCCAGAGGACUUUCCAAUGAAACUGAAAUUAUUUGAAAAGAGUGUCUGUUUAAAGAAAAGCUGCUCUUCAGUGUAAAAGAUUUCAGCCCCAGUGCUGGUAGGAGUCACAAACAUCACGGCAAUGCCUGUGGCAUUAGAUGUACAGUAUAGCUCAGACAUCUGAAUGCCAUUCUGCCAUUCUUUGGACUGGGGAAAUCAUGCGGAGUUAUGAGAUUGACGUAAAAAAAUGCUGAAUCUCACUCUUAAAUUUGUUCCUGAUAAUCAGUAGAAUAUUUAACUCCAAAAGUAACCCCUUCACAAUUUUCUUAAGACCUGCAGUCUUUGCUGCUAUCAUCCAGCAGAAGAUUUGAGCUUAACAUUUGGUUUAUGUUAUAACCUGUUUCACAGCCCCUACCUGGAAACUAAUUUUAACACCACCAAACAAAAAAAAAAUCAGCAUUUAAAAUUGACAGUAACAGGGUAGCAAAACCUGCUUCCUUCAAAAGUAAAUGUGAGCUGUAAAACACCCUUUUUGUUCUUUCUAAAUGACAUCAGCAGAUUUACCUAAGGCAUGAGACUUAAAGCCAGACAAGAUGUAACGCAGGUAACAGGUGGUUAUCAGCCAGUGAGAUCCUCCACUUGGACAGACUAUUAAGAGAAGUUUUGGGCUCUUCUCCCUGUGGUCUGCACAACCAGGCUGGCUGACAUGGGAGAUUAAAGCCUUGUACACAAAGAUGUAUCUGAAGAUAAGUCAGUGAAAUGCUGAAGUGUUAUGUGGGAGAGUGGAGAAGAUGAUUGAUUAGUCCUUUGUCAUUGAUUAAUAUCAGCCAGAAGAUCAAAACUAUGGUGUUUGUUUACACCAAAGAGAGAAUCCAGAAGCACACGCUUAACUUCUUAGCUAAGCAUUUUGCUAAGCCAAUAGCAAAUUAUACAUCCAAUUAUAACCGGUGUGAUAUUUCUCCUAGGGACUAAUCUUCUGAAGUCUGCGGUUUAAAGGUUUUCCAAAGCAGAGAAUUUACCUCUGCAUUUCAUAGCUUUUGGGUGACUUCCUUCUUCUAUGAAAUUCUAGCUGAAUUUUCAACCAAGUCUUAAGUUCGCCAUCCAGAAUCCAGUUUGUCAUCCAGUUUUAUUAUCCAGAUUUUUCAUCCAGAAUGUCAUUACAAAGGCAUUCAACGAUUCACCUACAUUCUCUAUAUAAAAUGACAAAAAGAAUUUUUUCUUAAAUGGACAAGUCCAAAAUUUAAUCUUUUAGCUCCCCAGUCUUUUUGACAGCCCUUGUUAAAGGCUAUUGAAUAGACAACCUGACGCUAACAGCAACUCUAUUAUAUACAAUUCAAAUCUAAGAAUUUGAGCUGGUUUAUUUUUUUUUCCCAAAAAAUUGAAUUGAAAGUACUUUUAAACACAUCUACCAUUUCAAUUAUAAGCUGUUUUUACAGUGGAAGCUUAAUUCAGUAAAAAGGAGCAUGAAUCUUUGUAAUUCUAAGUAAUUUCUGAUUUGAGAAAAAAUCUGCUCAGGUCUCAAGUAGUGAGAGCAGAGUAAACCUUGAUUGAAGGGCACUAAGCUAAUCACAUUCUGCAAUUACUGAGAACAGUUAAAACAUCAUUUAUAAUGUAAUGAUUGCUCAAAUUAUCUUAUUGGAUCCAUUUGCCAAUCCCUAAUCAUUUUUUUAUUGCUGAUCAGAGGAAAUAGCUUUGCUAUUGGCAUCAGCUUGUCUAUGCAAUAGAUUUCAGUACAAAGCAGUUACAAACCUGUAUAAAUCUGUCAGCAUUUCUUUGCUGUGUUUCUUUUUUAUUAUUAUUUUUUUUAGAAAAAAAAGAAAGGCUUUUCAGUUUCAGCCUCUGCAAAAUUAUUGUUCAAAUCCUGAAGUCAAAUAAUUUUAAGGUGUGUGAUUUUUUAAAAUUUUUUUUGUUAAAGAUUGUCAAGUAAACAGAUUAAUGCUUAUGACAACUCAGAUCAUGAAGCUGAGAAAAUAUCUUUUUGUGAAAAACACACAGAUUAACCCAAUCUGACUGCUUACUGUGCUGUUAAAUCAGUUGUUCCUAUUCCCAUGGUAACAACAGGAGUUAUCUUGGGCAGCACUUCUCCCUGCAGAUAAGCUGGAAACAGGCUCGUGCAAUGUAGCAGGCUCAAGCUCCUUGUCUUUUAAAUUUUAUGUAUUUCCAGCAUUCACUGCUAAGACUGUAUCUUCUUUUCUAGCAGAUUCAACUGCCUUUCAUGUGAUGGUAGAUCACUGUGGAGAGAGGUUGGUGUGAAGAGAGUAUUUAGCUCUUCUAGUUCUACCUCAAGUUUUAUCUGCAAAGUUUUCUACCAUCACCAGCAGAUAAAUUCUGCCCCUCUCAUGGGUUUUGCUGCCCUGUCCCAUGCUGUGGCUUUUACCUUCCCCGUGAACUCUGACUCCUUCCCACUGGCCUGUCUGCUCUUCUACCCAAAGGAAAGAGAGUAUCCACAGAGGUCUUGCUCUUGAAUCCUCUCCCAGCUGUGCAGGAGCUUCUUUAAUUUCACCAACUAAUGUUAUACUUCAUAACUAAAUUAUGGCUAGUUGGUAUUAGUGUAAAAGCCAGAAACUAGCACUCAAAAAAUGCAGAUUCCCACUUCUUAGUCUUACUUAAAUACAUUUGAUCAGCUUUAUUAUAGUUGUUAUAAAAAAUAUGUAUGUGUGUGAACAGUUCAGCUAGAUAAUAGCCAAGAAUGAACUGUGUUGAACUAGGCAAUGUAGAUUUGGAAAAUCUUGUGUUUCAGCAGAGCUUCAGUUCCAGAAGCUGGUUAUCAGAGCGAAUUAACUCAGCAAGAGACACAAUUGUCAUGUCUGGUUACAAACAACAGCAGAAACAAAAGCAUGAACUGAAGAAAUCCUGGUUAGCUACACGUAUGUGAAAGUCUGUGUUCUCCAUAGACUGCAGCAAUGUAUUUUCACGUAGUGAAGUUUAUUUAGCUUUUGCCUAAACAGGGCAAAAUGCUAUAAGUAAUCUGUAUAUUCAUGGCGUAUGUAGGUCUCUUUCAUCAUUUGAUUUCACAUCCAUCUAUGAAAAGCAAGUGUCAUCAGCUGACUGACAGAAAGUAAAAAUUAAAAAAAAAAAAAAAGAAAAUAACAAAAAAUUAUUAUUAAUAAUAAUAAUA